rnacentral:rRNA from 1 species
GGAAACUGAGGGUAAUAGUGUAUACCAUACCACCACUGGAAUGAGUGGUAUGCCAAACGCUCCGGCGCCRAAGGAUGUGGCUGCGGCCGAUUAGGUAGACGGUGGGGUAACGGCCCACCGUGCCAAUAAUCGGUAUGGGUCAUGAGAGUGAGAACCCAGAGACGGAAUCUGAGACAAGAUUCCGGGCCCUACGGGGCGCAGCAGGCGCGAAACCUUUACACUGCACGACAGUGCGAUAGGGGGAUMCCAAGUGCACAGGCAUAGCGCCUGUGCUUUUCGGUACCGUAAGGUGGUACCAGAAUAAGGGCUGGGCAAGACCGGUGCCAGCCGCCGCGGUAAUACCGGCAGCCCAAGUGAUGGCCGAUCUUAUUGGGCCUAAAGCGUCCGUAGCUGGCCGCGCAAGUCCAUCGGGAAAUCCACCUGCUCAACAGGUGGGCGCCCGGUAGAAACUGCGUGGCUUGGGACCGGAAGGCGCGACGGGUACGUCCGGGGUAGGAGUGAAAUCCCGUAAUCCUGGACGGACCGCCGAUGGCGAAAGCACGUCGCGAGGACGGAUCCGACAGUGAGGGACGAAAGCCAGGGUCUCGAACCGGAUUAGAUACCCGGGUAGUCCUGGCCGUAAACAAUGUCUGCUAGGUGUGGCUCCCACUACGAGUGGGUGCUGUGCCGUAGGGAAGCCGCUAAGCAGACCGCCUGGGAAGUACGUCCGCAAGGAUGAAACUUAAAGGAAUUGGCGGGGGAGCACUACAACCGGAGGAGCCUGCGGUUUAAUUGGACUCAACGCCGGACAUCUCACCAGCAUCGACUGUAAUAAUGACGACCAGGUUGAUGACCUUGUCCGAGUUUCAGAGAGGAGGUGCAUGGCCGCCGUCAGCUCGUACCGUGAGGCGUCCUGUUAAGUCAGGCAACGAGCGAGACCCGCACCCUUACUUGCCAGCAGUACCGCGAGGUAGUUGGGGACAGUAGGGGGACCGCCGUGGCUAACACGGAGGAAGGAACGGGCAACGGUAGGUCAGUAUGCCCCGACUGUGCUGGGCAACACGCGGGCUACAAUGGUCGAGACAAAGGGUUCCAACUCCGAAAGGAGACGGUAAUCUCAGAAACUCGAUCGUAGUUCGGAUUGUGGGCUGCAACUCGCCCACAUGAAGCUGGAUUCGGUAGUAAUCGCGUGUCACAAGCGCGCGGUGAAUACGUUCCCUGCUCCUUGG